UGAAUAGAAAUAUGCAUUUUUAGCAUGGAGCAUAAUUACCAUUGCACCAAUUUUUACCAAGGGAUGUGGUAUCUAUAGCUAGAUAUGGCCAAAUGUGAAGAUUAAUAUAGCUUCAGGUUAAAGUGAGCUAGUAAACUUGAAGCCAGAAUUAAUUCAGGAAAAUCAUGUGUGUUGUGUUAUACCAUAGUAAAUAAUCACAAUGGUCCCUGUAGUCUUUAAAUCUAGACUACAAAGUGAAGUUUCUGCUUCCCCACCUGGAAGUAGAAACAUGACAGUUAAUACAUAUUGCUCCUUGUUCAAGCACAUCUCUACUAACAGAAGAUAUUUUUUGUGCUUGUCCAAAUACUUUCUUCACCAUACUACUGACUUUCAUACCACAAUUCCUUCAUCUUUCUGCCAAGGUUUCCAGGACAGUCUUGCAGACCACAGAGACUGAAAUAUUUUGGAUGCAGGUCAAGCAAACAUCCUGAGAUUUAUGUUAUCUGUAUCAAAACAAACUUCUGAACCUUUGGAGGAUCUUCUAUGUCAAAAGGCAAUGUAACAUUGCGAGUGUAACGAUCUGUCUGCAGCCCCUUGUAGACAAUGGGAAGUCUGGAAGAGCAAGGCUAUUUCCAACACAAAAUAUAUUCUGAAAACAAGUUCAUUAUUGCUGAUCAUGCUUAACUGAUGAUUUGUGUGAUUUCCAUCCCUCUCCCCACACCCCUCCCCCUGCGCCUUCCAUGGGUAUCCUUGUAUAGCAUUUUUUACCUUUUCCUUAUAUAUGAAUAUCAUUAUAUUUGGAAAUAUCUGAAUCAUCAUUCUUCAUGGCAUGCAUGAAUAUGCAGGUUUGGACAGACUUUUCCCUCUUUGCCACAGUGUUGCACAAAUGGAGGAAUUAUGGAUUGCAAUUCCUGCGACCAAGGUGGGAUAAUUUGCUCUUCAUCUGUUCUCUCACAUGCUAAUUAUUUCUAUUGGCAGGACAAUACUAAAAUGGCCAAUGGUCUAGUCUGAUAUGGCAGAUCCAUCAGUACAUCCCUGGUGUGGCAACUGAGUAGUAUAAUGAUUUUGGCUUUGCAGGUGUUACCUUUUGCAGUAUUGGGAUCUCAAAAAGCAAAAUUGUCUGUCUGUCUUGAUAUAUUGGUAGGUAGAGUGAUGGCUUGCAACCCCUAGGUAUUUACACCUGUGGACUUGACAGUGUGGGUGUUGACUAAACAUAUUUAUUAGGCAAGUCAAAUCCAAGUAAAGCUAAAUAUUCUGUUUUUUAAGAGAGACUGUUGUAGGUAAAAGGAAACUUUUCAGUGGUCUGUGGCAGUAAAAGAUCAGUAAAAUGAUGAAUGUGCAUUUGUAUUUAUCCAAAUAAAUAGGAGCUUACAGACACUUUUAGAGAGUUAAAUAGUUCAGAUACUCAAAUGAAUGGAUAAGCAAAUAAGUAUUAACCAGAUCAGUCGGUACCUUUUCCUAAAGAUUUUAAUACCUUGUAAUUUAGGUAAGUCUUUUGCAACCAGCGUCUUUCAGGGUCAUGGAGAUUCCAAGGAUCAACGCUAUAGAGAAGAAGACCUGGGAUGAACGGAGAAAUGCAGACAGGAUCUUGAGGCUGUGUGAUUGGUCAUGAGAACAAUAAAGAAGAGCUGUCACCCUUGAAUUUCCAAAGUAGGCACCCCAGCUGUAGAGGCCUAUACCGAUCAGUAACCACUCCCAUUGCAGUCACACCAUUCAACUUAAAAGGAAGCAAAUUUGGGGCCCUAGUGGGAAAGCUGUGACUGUGCUUGCAGUUUUAUAAUGGCUGAAAUACCCUGUCUUGCCUGCCCUGCCUACUUUGCCUGCCUUACCAGAAAGAUUUCACCUCUGGUCUUGAAGGUGAAUGCAGGAAGGAAGCAUUCCAUGUUGCAGUGCAGGCUGGCUUUUAUUUUGAAGGGUGUUUUAAAAAAAAGAAUGUAACUUAUGUGGAGAGUGUUGUGUUUAAAAAAAAAAAAAAGUUCAAAAAAUACCACGCAUGAUUGAUCUCAAGUCUGCUUGCCGAUCCAAAGACAACACAGCACAGCAGUCAAAUAUACAUUUUAUGGGCUUUUGUCUGUUUUGCAAUAACACUGGAAAGCAUUCUUUAAUUAAAAUUUAAAACCGUAACUGAUUAAUUUUCUGUGUAAACAAUCCCUGUAAACAUGGAAUGUCAGCAUUUUAAGGGCACACUGGUAUAAAUUUUGCUUCCUCUCUCAGAUGCUCUGGGGGAAGAUGGCAAGAAAAGAUGAGAAAAAAAUAAAGUCCAGGAAAAGAACUGGAAGAGGGGAAAAGUUCAAGGCCCUGGUGUUCUGUACUGCAAGCACACCAGCUGCAGGAUCUCGCCUCCUGCCCAUUUCUCUAUGGAAGAAUGCUGGCAUAAGCUCUCUGCUCUUGCUCUGGCCUUCUGAAAAGUCUGCUUUACAGCUGAACACCACUGCAACCAAAACCCAGCCUUACAGCUGAAGCAUUCUCCAGGCAUAACUGUCGGAAUCUCUAAUGGUGAGCGUGGAGCCAGGGAAGAGGAAUGUAGACCCCACCUGGACGGCGUUAGAGAGACGGUACGGAUUUCCCAAGCUCCCUCAAACUCCGACACGAGCAGCAGAGGGAGCAGCAUCAGGAGCCAGGGGGGCUGGACUAUGUGACACCCAGAACUGGGCAGAAGAGAAAAAUCAUGUUUUCACUCGCUGGCCAGCAAGCAAGCAGAAGGGUUGUGAUACCUGUAAAGGGGUACAGUAGUGCACAUGCUAACUCAGUGAGUUGUGAGGCUCCAAAUAUUUUCCCUGGGGUGGGUUUGUGUGGUGACUCACAGCAAAUGAGUUAAUACACAACAAUGGCAAAUGGUUAUUUAAGCAUCUUUGCCCAAUCUUGACAUGAAAAUAUCUCUGCAGUCAUCAUCUGCAUAUGCACAUGUACAACAUGUGCACACACAUAUAGCAACACGUACACGCUCUAUUAAGAAUUGGCCUCUUGAACCAUGGCCAUAUAAUACAUGUGAGUUCGGGCUGCUGCCCCACACACUUCAGCUGUGAUCUAGUUAUUUCCUUCUAAGAUUUGGUUCAUCUUUCAACUCUGCCAGAUCCAUAAUGGCAGAAAAUUCAAGAGGUUUGGAGUUCAUGGUCCUUUUGGAUGUGCUUCCAAAAGCUUGGAUACUUACUCCACAAUCAAGAACUCAUCGAAGACUGUAGACUCUCAUCUCAUAUACUGUAUAAUGCAAAAACAGGUAUAUGGGUCAAUAAUUGACUUAGAUAUUGUAGACUAAAUAUAUACCACACACAUGAUAUACUGCAGGGGUUUGGGGGGAACUGCACCCCAAAUUUGAGCUGGAAACUGAUUUUACGUGCCUUAUACAUUAUGAAUGGAGGUUAGGGAGGGAAGCUGAGGCACAAGCUAGGGGGAAUAAUUUGCUCAAAUCACAUAAUAACUUAAUGGAUGACUGAGGAGGAAUCUGGGGGUCUCCAGUCUCCUACUCCAGUGCUCUAACCACUCAACAUGGUGCUACAAGUCCAGUGGUCUAAUCACUGAGGAGGCAGGGAUGUAUCUUGUACAUAACAUUCAAAAUAAUUAUUUACAAAGGAAAAUAAAUCUUGGGAGCAUUCCAGGAGACUUAGUCUGCAAUUUCUGAUAUGUCUCUUUUGUAUGGAUGCUUUCCUUUUACUCUCUUCACAUUUGCAAUAUCCUGUUUUUUUUUUUUAUUUUGGGAAACUUUUCCUUUUGUUACAAUAAACCUGAUCACGCCCCUGCGUACUGCUGAAUUUUCACCCCAUGAGAUUCUCAUGUGGGCAGAAGAAGCCAGAGUGAGACUGGGGGAGGCAAUGGCCAUGGAAAGAUUUAGGCUAACUACAUGGCAUAACUGAAUGAAUUUGAGAUAAAAUUUGUUUAAUGAUUUAAUGCAUUCCAAAGAAGAAACUCAACAGAGGAAAAUCCAUAUCCAUGAGUCUUUUUAGCUGUGAAGGAUUCAUAUUGUCUUCUGGAAGUAUUAGAGUCAUAAGUAUUAGAGACUAUAAUGCACUGUGGUUUGCCUGUUAGACAUUUGUCUUAACUCUGUCUUAUCAUCAGUGUUCAAAUGAAUAUAAUCAUUUGUAUAACAUCAGAAGUGCUUUAGGUUAAAAAUAUAAUAGUAAAGGACAAAUGCAUUUAUAAUUCAGGGAUGUAGGCGUCAAUGGAGAUUAAAGAGGAGAAAGUAAGAAUCAGUCUCCACCAACUGUGCUAAAGAAGUCACUUCAGUAGAUGGGAGCAGUAAUAGGCUUUUAUCUCUUAUGCGGGCCAUUCACUAGAGGGGCAUGGCUCACUUAGCCAGCCUGUUCCCCCGCACUAAGUAAGUGUGUGUAAUGCCUCUGAAAUGAGUAGUAUGGUAAGAAAUUACAGCAAGGAUGAAUUUGGCUUCAUGAGGAUAGCCUUCCAGUCCCCUGCAAGGCACAACACUGCACUUCUCCUGUUCCAUCCUUGUUUUUAAAUACCCGCUCUUGACUAGUAGAGGGUUAUUGACCUAGUUUACAUAGGAUAUAAAUCAGUCUGGGUAAGAAGAUUGUCUUAGAAGCAAUUCCCCCCCCCCCCCCCAUGUUAUCAAAGUUCAUGGAUGCUCCAAUGAGUAAACAAGUAAAGGUUAUUUCAACAGGAUAUUAGGAAAGGAAAUAUUCAGGAAAGGAACAUAUUCUUUUUACACGCUGGCUGUUUAUCCAGUGGAACUCCCUGCCACAAUACGCUAGUGAAUAAGAGUCAAGGAAAGUUAGAUACUCGGGUUCGAGGAACAUCUACUACUGGAAUACUUUGCACAGAAACAAAUGCUAAAAGUGAAACAAGCAGCAAAACCUAACCAUUAAUUGACAGGUUUUGUGAAAGAGGUUUCCCUUGUGGGCAUGUUGUUUCAUAAUUGGUCACUAAAGGAUUUCCUGUUCCUUCCUUUAAAACAUCCAGUACCCACCACUGUCAGACACAGGAUACAGGACUCCAAGGACAAUAGUGAUCCUUAGUAUGCCAAGAAUACAAGCAAUAAUAAUUAAAAUUAUCUCAUGUUGUGCUGUUUUGUUUUUUUUUCUUCUAAAUGCUUGGCUUGAUGCAGCAACAAUUCCAGCAUUUUCUGGCUCUCAAUUCCAACCUUUUCUCUUUGCUU